rnacentral:lncRNA from 1 species
GCUUCCAAAGCACGUCUUACCUGACAGUGCUGGGCUGUACACAGGUGUUCUAACACUGUCUGGUAAUGAUGUCCCCUGAAAGCCCCUCAAACAACCACACCAUCUCAACAACCAAUAUAGGUGCAACGGCACUGUAGCAUACCUGAAGCAGGACGUGUUCACAGUUAGUUCGUUUUUUACUGUUUGGAAAUUGUUUUCAGUCAACUCUGUUUUAGAGAGACCCUCUGUCUGUUGGCAUUGCCAUUGUUCAGGUGUAGACUCUAAGUCACGUGAACUCCAGUUCAAAGUUCAGAACAUGAAAAGAUGGAGACUGUAGUAGGGUCGUUUUUUUUUAAAGGACUACAUAUGUGAAUAAGACGAUGAUGGAACAACUGGCUGAAGGAGGCAUCCAGAACAGGUGACACCAGACUUUAAAGGCUGACAGAGAUAGUCCCAUAGGAAAAGAGGAUGAGGUAAUAGUCCUAAACGUCGUCUGUGGUGAGCACCUACCGCCUAACCCCCCCAUUUGUGAAAAGUAGUUCCUCCCUGCUUCCUGCCCUUUGUGUAGAUUUUCCACCCCACCCAGUAGUUAAAGAAUAGCAGUGAAAUGACUGUUGCAGUAAGAGCCACUUCCUCUUCCCCUCCCCCAGUCGAAGCUGAAUCUGGGCCUUUGUUGGCUCGUGAUUGGUCCAGCGGCCCUACUGUACCUGCGUGCCAUAUUGUGCAGCUGACACCUGAGAUCUGUCUUGUCUGUCAACAAGCUGCUGUAGCUACAAAGACCCUGGCUACUUUCCUCUGAUGCGCCUACCUAGACCUUAUAAUUGUUGUCUUACCAGACAAGUUUAGAUCUAGCUACUCUGUCUAAUACUGUCUGGUAAUGCCGUCCAUUACAAGGUGUCUCAUCGCUCUUCUUCUGUCAGUUUCUUGGACAAUCUGUACAAAUCAACUGGUAUCAGGUCAUGUGAUGUCUUUUUCCCUCAAUGAUGUUUUCCAUAACUGGCUUGUAAGGUUUAAUUGCAGGUCAAAUAAAAAUUGUGUUGAAUUAUGUCAUUGUAUGCAAUAUCCCUAGUCAAAAAAAUCCUAUAGGAUCCCCCCCAAAAAAAUAUCCAAUUGCAAUCCCAAAGAAAUUUCAAUCAGAUUUUGGAAGCUAUCCUAUAGGACUUUAUCCCAUGGUAUAGUGCCUAGUACCUAGGACAGAAUCCUAUAGGAGUCCAAUAGGACUGGUUCCAAAAUCUGAUAGGAUUUUCUUUUGGCUUCUAUUAUUGACUAGGGUAACUUGCUAUUUAAAAAAAAAAUUGUACAGGACAGAUGUAAGUACAGAUAUGGAGACAGAUAUAGAGAGGGGUAAAGUGGUUAAGGGCACAGACAGUCGGCCAAGCCAGGGCUCAAAUCCCCGUCUAGGAGGGGGCAUAUGUGGUCCGGAUUUGGGGGCUUAGACCGCUACACCAGACUCCAGCACACUGAUAAGAUUUUUCUAUUAGAUUCUUGUGUAUAUAAAAUCCUAUUCAAUAGAAUCCUAUAUUACUCCAAUAGGACUGGUUCCAAAAUCUGAUGGGAUUUUCAUAUUGGCCUCUAAUUAGAUCCUUGUAUUGGAAUCCUAUCGGAUUAAACACUAUACGCUAUGGUUAACUUAGCUGCUUAACACAUGGAGCACCCGUGGGCAGUGGACACGUCAACUAUAACAUCAUAAGCAACCAAUAUUGAACUGCCUCCUUUUCCACUUGAGAUGCCGACCCUAUAGUGGAGAACCGCCGGCAAUGUCGAGAUAGGGAAAAUGGGGAGGGAGCACCUUCUAAGGAUGGAGGGAGGGUAGAGGUGACAGCUCUGGGGGGAAGGAGGCAGGGGAGGGGGUACAUCCCUGGUAGGGAGGUAGGGAGGCAGGGAGGGAGUGAGAGGGGUAGGUACAAUCCUGGAAUGGAAGGAGUUGGGGGGGGUGUCAUUAUCUUUAGGUUUUUCUUUUCCUCUCCCUAUCCCAACAGAAAGAGGGUAAAGGUAACAUUCUCUAUUUGAAUGCAUUGCUGACUAUUAUACUGUAUAUUCAAUUAAAGAAUGUUCAUAUCUUUGCGUUACUGUACCUAAAAAUGUAUUUUCAUUCUACUUUUUUUGCAUAUAUGAAAUGUAAAUAUGCUGUACAUUCUAAGGGGGAAACCCCCCAAAAUCUUGCGCUAUUGUAAAAUUGUAUUUAGUUUUGCACAUAAUAUUGUAAUGGCUUCUAAUUCAAAAAACAAGAAGUUGCAUGAAUAAGAAUUAAAUCAAAUAACUCAAGUGAGUGUUUUGUUGAAAAAUGUGUACUGUACUGGUGGUCAAACUCCAAAUGAGCGUGUAGCCUUGAAUCACUCCCAUAUUGUGGUGGUGAAUAAAACCUGUUGUUUCCAAUUAAAUAAAAUAUUGUAAUUCAUGUUGUAUUGUACUGGAACAAAUGACAACAAACUUUAAUUGAAUGGGUUCAAUUAAGAAAAGUUCUGAUUUAAGACGUAUCAAAAACCUAUAGGAUCCAAUAGGAUUCCAGUAGGAUUCUGAUAGAGCUGACACAACAUCCUAGUGUUGUGAAAAUCUUAUAGGAUUUUAUUGGAAAAAACACUAAUCCUGUAGGAUUUUUUGACUAGGGAUGCCUUGAAUAGUUAUGUCUUACAGUGUUUUGUUAAUUAUGUUAAAGGUCUUAAACUCAGGUUUUUUGUGUGUUUUUCAUUAUCAUAUGAAUCAUUAUAAACUGCAUACAGUGUAGUUUUGCACAACUACUAAAAUUCAAAAUUACUAUAUUAACCUGCAAACAUAUUUCUUACAGUGAAAUCAUCAUAGAGAUAAAUUCAAUCACUACUCACUUUAAAGGUCAAUUGCAGCUGUUUUUUUUAAAAUCUCAAUAUCAAAUAAUUUCUGGCUAACAAUUAAGUACCUUGAUGUGAUUUUUUUUUCAAUUAAAAUUGUCAAAAAUAAACAAAAAUUGCUUCUUAGC